rnacentral:rRNA from 1 species
AUUGAACGCUGGCGGCAUGCUUUACACAUGCAAGUCGAACGGCAGCGCGGGCUUCGGCCUGGCGGCGAGUGGCGAACGGGUGAGUAAUGCAUCGGAACGUGCCCAGUAUUGGGGGAUAGCCCGGCGAAAGCCGGAUUAAUACCGCAUACGACCUGAGGGUGAAAGCGGGGGACCGAAAGGCCUCGCGCUAUUGGAGCGGCCGAUGUCGGAUUAGCUAGUUGGUGGGGUAAAGGCUUACCAAGGCGACGAUCCGUAGCUGGUCUGAGAGGACGACCAGCCACACUGGGACUGAGACACGGCCCAGACUCCUACGGGAGGCAGCAGUGGGGAAUUUUGGACAAUGGGGGCAACCCUGAUCCAGCCAUGCCGCGUGCGGGAAGAAGGCCUUCGGGUUGUAAACCGCUUUUGUUCGGGAAGAAAUCCUCUGGGCUAAUACCCCGGGGGGAUGACGGUACCGGAAGAAUAAGCACCGGCUAACUACGUG